UCCGGCUUGUCACCGGCAGUCUCAUUAGAGUGCCCAACUGAAUGUGGCAACUAAUGACAAGGGUUGCGCUCGUUGCGGGACUUAACCCAACAUCUCACGACACGAGCUGACGACAGCCAUGCAGCACCUGUCUCUGGGUUCCCGAAGGCACCCCCGCAUCUCUGCAGGGUUCCCAGGAUGUCAAGACCAGGUAAGGUUCUUCGCGUUGCAUCGAAUUAAACCACAUGCACCACCGCUUGUGCGGGCCCCCGUCAAUUCCUUUGAGUUUCAGCCUUGCGGCCGUACUCCCCAGGCGGGGCACUUACUGCGUUAGCGACGGCACCGGGAGGGUCGCUCCCCCCGACGCCUAGUGCCCAUCGUUUACGGCGUGGACUAC
rnacentral:misc_RNA from 1 species